GGUUUUCAUAAAUGAUUAUAGGGUCGCAGUAGGUUAUGGAUGUGUGCCGCCUUUCGCUUUAUGUGUACUUUACUAAAUGUGUCCUUGGGCACGACAAGCACCACAUGCAUCUGUAUAACUGGUUGCCUAAAUGCUUCAUGAUUAAAUAUCGAAAACGCAUGCGUCAAUACACAUGUGACUAACAUAACAAGGCGAUACUGGCGAUAACAAGUGAAAUUUUUGGUUGGCUGUUGAUAUACACACGCACAAAUUCCAAUAACUAAAUCAUCCACGGAAAAAGAAGUUCCACGUUUAGGAGUAUAUUUGUAAUGAAGUGCAGGAGGCGAAGCGCCCGUGUGUCCUUUCAAAAAGUUAGCACGCGUUGGUGACCAUAAAAAGUUAGGUUAUGUUAACAACGGCAGCAAUGCUGCAAUUAAAGAAUGCACGAAUGCGAAAUUUAACAAAUUUUUGUGGCAAAAGGAAGCAUUUGCAUAACAUUUGAAGAUGAGGAACGUGAUCAAAAGAUGCUGUAGAAGAGCUUUGCACAAACAGUUUGUGCGAAAUCGAGAAGCGCGUGUUCUGCGCGAUGUUACGGAGUUAGAUAAGCGCAAAUGUAGUUCAUUUUCAAACUGUUUUUCAGAAGUUGAAGGCGCAUUGAUGACCAGUGGGACCAAGGGCCUUUGGUGGUUAAAUAUGCCUUUAUAUACAUGGACACCAGAUGCAUGUGCUUAGAAAGAUGAUUUUUGAUUAAGAACUCAGAGCAAGAGUAUCUUUAAUGGUGUAUACAAAUUUGACAAACAACGCAUUUUAAUGUCUGAUAACUACAUUUCCUAUCCAUCAGUUCUACUUCAUGAAAGUUAGUUUUGGUUUGUGAGUGCAUUAAAUGUUUUACAGCAGAUUCUUUAGCUACAUUAUCAAAACUUAUCUGGGUGGCAAGUUUAUGGGACUUACUGACCAAAAGGUCAUGGUGAAUAGCUGUAAGUCAUAAAGUAGAUGAAAUUCUUGACCAAGAUGUAUCCUUCAGUAGUUUCUUCAAAGUGUCUAAAUAUGUUUCCAGCCCUCUAUUGGUUUACCACCAAAAUAUUUGUAUUUCAAAGAUCUGUGCAAAGAUUUGGCGUGCAUGUUGGUGUUAAUGCCUGCGUUCUUUUGAUAACACUGGGCCCAUGACUUCAUGCGCUCUUUAUUUUGAAAGUAGCAUUCCAAUAUGUAGCUGUAACUAUCAUCUGUGAUGAAAUAAUUGGGUACCAAAACCGA